rnacentral:snRNA from 1 species
AUACCUUUCUCGGCCUUUUGGCUAAGAUCAAGUGUAGUAUCUAUUCUUAUCAGUUUAAUAUCUGAUACGUGGGCCAUCGGCCCACAUGAUAUUAAAUUUAUUUUUGGGUAAUUAUA